rnacentral:rRNA from 1 species
CCUACGUGAGGCAGCAGUGGGGAAUAUUGCGCAAUGGGCGAAAGCCUGACGCAGCGACGCCGCGUGAGGGAUGAAGGUCUUCGGAUCGUAAACCUCUGUCAGCAGGGAAGAACGGUCACUGUGCUAAUCAGCAGUGAAUUGACGGUACCUGCAAAGGAAGCACCGGCUAACUCCGUGCCAGCAGCCGCGGUAAUACGGAGGGUGCGAGCGUUACUCGGAAUUACUGGGCGUAAAGCGCUCGUAGGCGGUAUGUCAAGUCAAGGGUGAAAUCCCCGCGCUCAACGUGGGAACUGCCUUUGAAACUGGCAACAUGGAGUGUGGGAGAGGAUAGUGGAAGUGCAGGUGUAGGAGUGAAAUCCGUAGAUAUCUGGAGGAACAUCAGUGGCGAAGGCGACUAUCUGGCACAUAACUGACGCUGAGGAGCGAAAGCGUGGGUAGCAAACAGGAUUAGAUACCCGGGUAGUC